AACGUAGGGUGCAAGCGUUGUUCGGAAUUACUGGGCGUAAAGGGCGCGUAGGCGGAUAGAUAAGUCAGGUGUGAAAUCCCUUGGCUUAACCAAGGAACUGCGCUUGAAACUGUCUGUCUUGAGUACGGGAGAGGGAAGCGGAAUUCCGGGUGUAGAGGUGAAAUUCGUAGAUAUCCGGAGGAACAUCGGUGGCGAAGGCGGCUUCCUGGACCGAUACUGACGCUGAGGCGCGAAAGCGUGGGUAGCAAACAGG
rnacentral:misc_RNA from 1 species